rnacentral:rRNA from 1 species
GAUGAACGCUAGCGGCAGGCCUAACACAUGCAAGUCGAGGGAGGAGCCUUCGGGCUUCGACCGGCGUACGGGUGCGUAACGCGUAUACAAUCUGCCUUUCACAUAGGGAUAGCCCGAAGAAAUUUGGAUUAAUACCUAAUGGUAUAUAGAUGUGGCAUCACCUUUAUAUUAAAGCUGAGGCGGUGAAAGAUGAGUAUGCGUUCUAUUAGCUAGUUGGAGAGGUAACGGCUCCCCAAGGCGACGAUAGAUAGGGGUUCUGAGAGGGAUAUCCCCCACACUGGUACUGAGAUACGGACCAGACUACUACGGGAGGCAGCAGUGAGGAAUAUUGGACAAUGGUCGGAAGACUGAUCCAGCCAUGCCGCGUGCAGGAAGACGGCCUUAUGGGUUGUAAACUGCUUUUGCAGGGGAAGAAUAAGGACUACGCGUAGUUUGAUGACGGUACUCUGCGAAUAAGCAUCGGCUAACUCCGUG